rnacentral:rRNA from 1 species
UACGAAGGGGGCUAGCGUUGCUCGGAAUUACUGGGCGUAAAGGGCGCGUAGGCGGACAGUUUAGUCAGAGGUGAAAGCCCAGGGCUCAACCUUGGAAUUGCCUUUGAUACUGACUGUCUUGAGUUCGGGAGAGGUGAGUGGAAUGCCGAGUGUAGAGGUGAAAUUCGUAGAUAUUCGGCGGAACACCAGUGGCGAAGGCGACUCACUGGACACGUAUUGACGCUGAGGUGCGAAAGCGUGGGGAGCAAACAGG